CUAUGCUACAUUUCUGAUGUUUUUGGAUGAAAUUAACAACACUGAUGUCUCUGACACUGGAGCCAAAGCACAUGGAUUCCUAACUCAUCUUAAAAGAACGCUCAUUCUCCGGUCUCAGGAGACUUAAGAACUAUCUAUACUCAUCAAUGGGACAAGUGAGGCUGAAUCAUGUUGUUGUCCUUAAUGUUCAUCAAGACCUCCGGAACAUAAAUAAGAUUGCUGACAACUUCAUCCAGGGGGCAUACAGUGAGAAGUAAUUGGACAUUAAUGAAGACCAUGUUUUGAGUUUUAAUCAUCAGAGGGGGAAGAGACUGGCGAGUGUGCUGUAUUACUUUUGGAUCCAGCUGCGAGGUCUGACCCGUGACAGACGAGCAAGAGCGAGGACCUCUGUAUCCUAUUGUUGUAAACGACUUAGAAGCACUGCAGUCCUGUUUACUUUUUUAUUGACAGUUUAUUGUGCUGGCUUUUAAAUGUACAAUAUUUUAAAUAGUAUUGUAGCAAUUCAUUGGUGACCUCAAGGUUUGAGUGCUGCCCAUUGAGGGAAGGUCUGGUGGUGCCCUUAGAGGCCAGGAGAAGGGAGAUUUGAUUAAUUAUUCUAAAUUGGGGUAGCCGGAACGCUGGGUGAGAACAGCAAUAUCACCACUCUUGUCCCCGUUGGCAGACGGUAAGGUAAUGACGUCAAAGCAGUUGAUAUAUGGAUUGUUAAUUGUGGUUGUGCUGAAGGAACUCAUCACCCAUAAAAUACCUCUAUGAAAACCCUCAUGACAACUUUUAAAGACUGUUUGUUUUAAAUAGAAAAAUGGACUCAUUUAUU